rnacentral:rRNA from 1 species
UCUGGCUGUCGUGAUGCCUAAAAAGCAUUGCAUAGCAAGGGCCGGGCAAGACCGGUGCCAGCCGCCGCGGUAACACCGGCGGCUCGAGUGGUAACCGUUAUUAUUGGGUCUAAAGGGUCUGUAGCCGGCCGGAUAAGUCUCUUGAGAAAUCUGGCAGCUUAACUGUCAGGCUUUCAGGAGAUACUGUCUGGCUCGAGGCCGGGAGAGGUGAGAGGUACUUCAGGGGUAGGGGUGAAAUCUUGUAAUCCUUGAAGGACCACCAGUGGCGAAGGCGUCUCACCAGAACGGACCUGACGGCAAGGGACGAAAGCUAGGGGCACGAACCGGAUUAGAUACCCGGGUAGUCCUAGCCGUAAACGAUACUCGCUAGGUGUCGGCCACGGUGCGACCGUUGUCGGUGCCGUAGGGAAGCCG